rnacentral:miRNA from 1 species
UAUAUGAUCAAUGACAUAUGAG